rnacentral:rRNA from 1 species
GAUGAACGCUGGCGGCGUGCCUAAUACAUGCAAGUCGAGCGAACAGACGAGGAGCUUGCUCCUCUGACGUUAGCGGCGGACGGGUGAGUAACACGUGGAUAACCUACCUAUAAGACUGGGAUAACUUCGGGAAACCGGAGCUAAUACCGGAUAAUAUAUUGAACCGCAUGGUUCAAUAGUGAAAGACGGUUUUGCUGUCACUUAUAGAUGGAUCCGCGCCGCAUUAGCUAGUUGGUAAGGUAACGGCUUACCAAGGCGACGAUGCGUAGCCGACCUGAGAGGGUGAUCGGCCACGAGGGAACUGAGACACGGUCCAGACUCCUACGGGAGGCAGCAGUAGGGAAUCUUCCGCAAUGGGCGAAAGCCUGACGGAGCAACGCCGCGUGAGUGAUGAAGGUCUUCGGAUCGUAAAACUCUGUUAUUAGGGAAAAACAAAUGUGUAAGUAACUAUGCACGUCUUGACAGUACCUAAUCAGAAAGCCACGGCUAACUACG